UAACCAUGAUUCCCCUAGUAACGGCGAGUGAAGAGGGAAAAGCUCAAAGUUGGAACCUGGCUGCCCUAGGCAGUCCGGAUUGUAAACUAAAGAGCGUGAUUCCAGGCAAGCCGGUUGACCAAGUCCUUUGGAAUGAGGCGCCACUGAGGGUGAGAGCCCCGUAAGUCGACUGAGCAUUUGUCUUUUGUGUUUCGCGUUCAAAGAGUCAGGUUGUUUGGGAAUGCAGCCUAAAGCUGGUGGUAAAUCCCACCUAAAGCUAAAUACAGGCGAGAGACCGAUAGCGAACAAGUACCGUGAGGGAAAGAUGAAAAGAACUUUGAAAAGAGAGUUAAACAGUAUGUGAAAUUGCCAAGAGGGAAGCAUUUGGAGUUAGAUUGACUAGGAGUUAAUCAGCUUGGUCUUUGGACUGGGUGUACUUGACUUCUUACAGUCUGCCAAUAGCAGUUAGUCCUAGUGGAAAAAACCAGAGGGAAGGUAGUCCUUCGGGAUGUUUAUAGACCUUUGGAAAAUACACUGGGAUUGACUGAGGAAUGCAGUAGAUGCCACUAAGGCUUCGUCUAGUGGGUGCUAGGCAAAGGUACUUGGUAUUUUCAGCUUGCUGAUGUGCUAGGUUACUCGAGUCUAGUCGCCUACUAGAACUGUAAUCUACUUUGGUUAUUGGC
rnacentral:rRNA from 1 species